GAUGCAUCAUACGGAGCAAGAUGGCGAAGACUAACAGUAAGCCAUAACCUCACCUCCAGCGCUGGCAUCCUUUGCUUCCAAGUUAGCUCAUCUUUUCAACAACACCUGCUGUGUCACGUAUAAUGUACACUAUCAUUUGAAUACAUCAGCACUACACACCAUUAAAGCCAGCAGUCACUAGAGCUGAUUCUCUGGGCUUGACUUGCCACAGCCCCAUAUUCAGCACUCGAUGUCAGCAACAUCAUCAACAUCACUAGGUGUUCCGGAUUAACACUGCUCUUUGGAAUUUUCACUUUACGAUGAUAAGAAAAGGGUAAGACUGAAAAGAAACACCAAUCACCAAUAAUCUUUGCACGAGCAAAGUCCAUCUUUGAAAUGAUGAAAUCUAUUUGCAUCCCUCAAGAUAAUCUCACGUCCAGUAAUCUUCGAGAUUAAUUCAAUAGCCGUAUGACAAUCUCCACAAACCCUCAGGUUUUUCAUAACUCAAAUAGGUACCCCUUCAGGUAAUUUUAAAAGUCCAAACACCACAGCCAACUUUUCACUGUGAUGUGUUAAGUUUUGUGCCUUUUCUUCCUCUUCCACAUCAUGGAGGGAAAAGGCUCCAUCAGGGCUAUAUCCAGCUUCCCUUAACAUUCCACUUAGCUUCUCCCACGUUCUAAUAAUCAACAUAUGUUCAGGGUGUGGUGUGCUCUGUCCACCAGUAAACAUAUGCACUUCUCUGUCCACCUCAAUCCAACUACAACCAGGACAAAAGGACCAGCAUUUUUGGGUUCGAGUUGGACAAGCUUCUUCGCGGCAACUUCUGCAAGAGCAGAAUUCAUAUGGUUCCUACAUGUACCCAUCAGAGAACCCCAAACAAUGGCAUCUGCCUCUACAGUCAUUUCAU